AUAUAUAUAACUCCUUGUUUUCAUUUUUUUUUCUUUCCUCAUCGUCAAAUGAACAUAACCCUCAAGAAUCUAUCAUCCUCUUUCACCUUACGUUUUCUUCCUUUUUAUCCUUUAUUUUCAUUUUAAUCUUUCACCGCCAUGGCCGACGGUGGCGGCGACACACCCUCUCCGGCAACAUCAUCCAUUCCUUUGGCUUCUACAAUAAUCAAUUUUAAUUUCCAAGGAAGGAGAAAAUAUGGACAUGGAUUUAACAGUAACCUCCAUACCCCAAGUGGUUUAUUCAAUCAUAAUAUCUAUUUGCAUGGCGACGUAGGUGAACGGUACGCACUCAUUUUCUCAACUCUAAUUAAGCCCACGUUAUAAUCUUUGUAGUUAUAUUACAUAAUACAUAUUUAGCUACAAAACAUCGUCUAAGCUAUUUUUUUUUUCAAGGAAAUAGUUUUAUUAUCUUAUGAUUAAAGGAUUUAGGGUUAGAAACAAUUAUUUAUACGUUGGGGUUUGAGAUAUAAGGUUUGUAUUUAUGUUAGGAACCAGAAAGUAAGAUAUAGUGUUCGUAUGAAUCAUUUUGUUUCUUCCUUAGUGUAAAGGUUGCUGAGAUUAUUUAUUUUUGAAGGGAAGAACAAGGAAAUAAAAAGAUGAGGAAAAAGGAAGGAUUGUGUAUGGUCAAAAUAUAGUCUAAAUUAUUGUUUAUUAUUAUUAUUUACAGAAAAUAGGAUUGUGUUUAAAUAUGAAUUAAAAAGUUAAAACAUUAGCAAUUUGUUGGGGAAGAUUGAGGUUUAGUCAAUAGUAAAAAUAGUGUUUAAAUUAUUCCUUUACAAGAACAUAUCCUAUUUUGGAUACAAGUAGAAGAAAAAGGGUAGGAUACAAUAAAUUAUAUUUAUGUUAUUAUUGAAAAUAUGACAUACAUAUUUUAAUUUACAUAAAAGAGACAUUUUGGAGAAAUGAGGAAGCAAAAAAAAAAAAAAAAAAAAAAAAAAAAAAAAAAAAAAAAAAAAAAAAAAAAGAGGAAUAAGGAAGGGAAAAGAAAAAGAAAAAAAAUCUAGGAGGGAUAAGGAAGGGGAAAAAAAAAAAAGAAAAAAAAUAGGGAGGAAUAAGGAAGGGAAAAAAAUAUAUGGAGGAAUAAGGAAGGGAAAAAAAGAAAAAAAAAUAUGGAGGAAUAAGGAAGGGAAAAAAAGAAAAAAAAAUAUGGAGGAAUAAGGAAGGGAAAAAAAAAGAAAAAAAAUAGGGAGGGAUAAGGAAGGGAAAAAAAAAGAAAAAAAAUAGGAGGAAUAAGGAAGGGAAAAAAAAAAGAAGAAAAAAAAAAGAGGAGGAACAAGGAUGGAAAAAAGAAAAAGAAGAAAAAUAAAAUAAAUAACAUAGAAUAAAAUAUUCUCUAUUUUAUAUAAAUUAAAAUAUGUAUGUAUUAUUUUCAGUACGUAAGCCAUAAGGUGGGUGUAUUGUAUUUAAGUUAAGUACUAGGAAUUAAGAUUUAAGUUAUUCUUCUCUUUCUUUAAGAAAAACAUAGGAAUUAAGAAAAAAAAAAACAAUUGAAGGAAUAAGGAAGGAUAAAA